UUGGUUUGUGCUAAGUUAAACUUGUUCAACUUUAACCAAGUUUAUAAAAAAUAUAAUAACAUUUACAAUACAAAACAUAUGCCCUAUCAAAAUAUAUUUUAUGGUGGAUUCAAUCAAACAAAUUAUGUAUUAUAAAUGUUGUUAUAUUUUUUUAUAAAUUUAGUCAAAGUUGCACAAGUUUGACUUAGAACAAAACAAA
rnacentral:pre_miRNA from 1 species